rnacentral:rRNA from 1 species
UACGAAGGGGGCUAGCGUUGCUCGGAAUCACUGGGCGUAAAGCGCACGUAGGCGGCUUCUUAAGUCAGGGGUGAAAUCCUGGAGCUCAACUCCAGAACUGCCUUUGAUACUGGCGAUCUUGAGUCCGGGAGAGGUGAGUGGAACUGCGAGUGUAGAGGUGAAAUUCGUAGAUAUUCGCAAGAACACCAGUGGCGAAGGCGGCUCACUGGCCCGGUACUGACGCUGAGGUGCGAAAGCGUGGGUAGCAAACAGG